GGAGGGAGGCCGGAUCCUGGGCUCUGUACCCUGGGCCCUGUGCUCCCGGGCCUGCGAUUUUGGAUUCAUGCUCCGGCCGCGCAGCCGCCU
rnacentral:pre_miRNA from 1 species